rnacentral:rRNA from 1 species
UAAUUCCGUGCCAGCAGCCGCGGUAAUACGGGAGGUGCAAGCGUUAUCCGGUUUUACUGGGUUUAAAGGGUGCGUAGGCGGCUUAUUAAGUCAGUUGUGAAAUCCUAGUGCUUAACGCUAGAACUGCAAUUGAUACUAGUAGGCUUGAGUUAAGAAGAGGUAGGCAGAAUUUAUGGUGUAGUAGUGAAAUGCUUAGAUAUCAUAAGGAAUACCAAUAGCGUAGGCAGCUUACUGGUCUUUAACUGACGCUGAGGCACGAAAGCGUGGGGAGCAAACAGGAUUAGAUACCCUGGUAGUCCACGCCGUAAACGAUGAUCACUCGAUAUACGUCAUACGUGAUGUGUGUCUAAGCGAAAGCGUUAAGUGAUCCACCUGGGGAGUAUACUCGCAAGGGUGAAACUCAAAGGAAUUGACGGGGGUCCGCACAAGCGGUGGAGUAUGUGGUUUAAUUCGAUAAUACGCGAGGAACCUUACCUGGGCUAGAAUGUAUUUUGCUACCUUGAGAAAUUAAGGGUUCCUUCGGGACGGAAUACAAGGUGCUGCAUGGCUGUCGUCAGCUCGUGCCGUGAGGUGUUAGGUUAAGUCCUAUAACGAGCGAAACCCUUUUACUUAAUUGCCAGCACGUAAUGGUGGGGACUUUAAGUAGACUGCCCGUGUAAGCGGGAGGAAGGAGAGGAUGAGGUCAAGUCAUCAUGGCCUUUAUGCCCAGGGCUACACACGUACUACAAUGGCAUGUACAAAGGGAAGCUACUUGGUAACAAGAUGCAAAUCUCAAAAGCAUGUCUCAGUUCGGAUUGGGGUCUGCAAUUCGACCUCAUGAAGUUGGAAUCGCUAGUAAUCGCGUAUCAGCAAUGGCGCGGUGAAUACGUUCUCGGGCCUUGUACACACCGCCCAUCAAGCCAUGGGAGUUGGUAGAGCUUGAAGACAGUGG